AGAGUUGAUCCUGCUCNGACGAACGCUGGCGGCGUGAAUAGGCAUGCAAGUCGCGCGACGCACCUUCGGGUGACGAGCGGCGAACGGGUGAGUAACACGUGAACAAUCUGUCCCCCCAUUCCGGAUAAUUGGUCGAAAGACCUUGUAAUACGGGCGAGGAUCAUUCUUAGGCAUCUUUGAAUGAAGGAAGGCGCAAGAUUUAUCUUGUGUCGUGUGGGGAGGAGUUCGCGGCCUAUCAGGUAGUUGGUGGGGUAAUGGCCUACCAAGCCUACGACGGGUAGCUGGUCUGAGAGGAUGGUCAGCCACAUUGGGACUGAGACACUGCCCAGACUCCUACGGGAGGCUGCAGUCGAGAAUCUUGGGCAAUGCACGAAAGUGUGACCCAGCGACGCCGCGUGAAGGAUGAAGGCCCUUGGGUCGUAAACUUCUUUUAUGGGGGAAGAAUCAAUGACGGUACCCCAUGAAUAAGCCACGGCUAACUACGUGCCAGCAGCCGCGGUAAUACGUAGGUGGCAAGCGUUGUCCGGAUUUACUGGGCGUAAAGCGUGCGCAGGCGGACUUUUAAGUAGAAAGUGAAAGGUUGGAGCUCAACUCCGACACUGCUUCCUAUACUGGGAGUCUUGAAUGCCGGAGAGGAAGAUGGAACGACACGUGUAGCGGUGAAAUGCGUUGAGAUGUGUCGGAAUACCAAUGGCGAAAGCAAUCUUCUGGACGGAUAUUGACGCUCAUGCACGAAAGCUAAGGUAGCAAACAGG
rnacentral:rRNA from 1 species